rnacentral:lncRNA from 1 species
GUAAAGUUGGUCUGUACCUCACCUGUCCAGUCUAGUGGCCUCUAUGAGAUGUGGCUGGCUGGUGACAGUAGGAAUGUAAAUCUAUGUACUUAAUUUUGAGACAAUACUUCUCUCUGUAGCCCAGGCUGGCCUCAAAUGCAUAAGGGUUGGAAGUACAAUCACAAGACACGACACCCAGCUUUUGUUUUAAUAGAAUCACCUGGGAAUGACUGUUUUGAACAGUAUGGCUUUGGCUAGUUCCCAACCUGGCUCUCCCCUUUCCACUCAGAAACAGAGACGCUGCUGCACGUGCAAGUGGCCUGGAGGCCAGGUGAGACGACAGUGGGCCUGAAUAGGGAGCAGAGUGGGGGAAGCUGUGGGCUAAGUCGUCCUUCAAGAAUGCACAAGGGAGCUCUGUGGGAGAGGGCCAGCCCACAGGAACCCACUCCACCCCAGUGGCCAUCACAAUGGAAUUCAGGUCUGCGUCACAAUGCCACUGGCAGUGGGAGGCUGGUCUCUUUGUUUGGAGACCUAGUUACAGGAACUCUGCGUCAGAGGUCCCUGUUUCCUGGGGUAUGGGAAGGGGCCCAGCUGCUGAGCGGCCUCAAAAUGGAGAACUGUAGGAAGAGCAGGUGUGAGGUUGGGCAGUCCCACUCAGCCCCCGGACCUAGCGGCUGCAGGGCCCAGGUGACAGUCGGCAGGGAGCAGGGAUUCUCCGUCAACAGGAAUGAAGACCCAGAGCCUGGAGCUGCUGUGGACCUCUUGCCUCAAGCCAUCAUCUGUUCUCAGAAGACCCCAGUGCUACACGUCUUCAGUCUUGUGCCUCCAUUGAGUACAUGACCCACCACCAGGCAAAGGACACGUCACCUCUGGACGGCUGCCGGGUGGAGGCAAAGCUGUAGCUGCAUCCUCUUGGUCAACAGUGUUGAGCUCUGCACAUUUACUAGGAAGCUGUUUUGUGCCUGGCCCCAGGCCCUGUCUCUGAUGAGAAAUAAAAUGUCCAUGGGGCCAAAUACAUUUUUAUUUCAGUGUCUUUGAGACAAGUGUUUGCUAUGUAGCCCAGGCUGACCUUGAACUCACAGCAGUCCUUC